rnacentral:rRNA from 1 species
CCAGCAAUGGUCUCUGUGUAGGUGCUGCAUGGUUGUCGUCAGCUCGUGCCGUGAGGUGUCGGCUUAAGUGCCAUAACGAGCGCAACCCUCGUCCUUAGUUGCCAUCAUUAAGUUGGGCACUUUAAGGAAACUGCCGGUGAUAAGCCGGAGGAAGGUGGGGAUGACGUCAAGUCCUCAUGGCCCUUACAGGCUGGGCUACACACGUGCUACAAUGGCAUCUACAGUGGGCAGCUAUUCCGCAAGGAUGCGCUAAUCUCCAAAAGAUGUCUCAGUUCGGAUUGUCCUCUGCAACUCGAGGGCAUGAAGGCGGAAUCGCUAGUAAUCGCGGAUCAGCAUGCCGCGGUGAAUACGUUCCCAGGCCUU